AUUUGCACUAAGUUUGAAAACAAUUAGGAUUGUAGUUCAUGAGAACUUUUCCACAUGGAUCUGGUUUCCUUUUCCUGGCAGUCAAUCUUUAAGGGUAGUGAUAAUCAGUUUGUUUAUUGAACUGUGUUUGGGGGAAAAUUAGCAAAACAAUCUAAGAUCCAGUUAGCACAAGCUGUUGAUGAGGCACAGGAAGUGGUUAUGUUGGGUCCAGUGUGAUACAUUCGUACAUUGGAGAAGUCCUGGUGGAGUCAGCCACUAAGUUCUACUUAGAAAGCAGGAUACGGGAUGCUCUGAGCAGUGAGUUUCCAUAUAUCUAAGGAAUCUCAAGUUUAGUUCAAUUCUUCAGGGCAAAUUCAUUGACUUUUUUUACUUUAUAGAUUCAAAGAGGGUCUGGAGUGUCUAGGUCUCCUGCCUUACAUGUAUAUACACUCAAGCCUCUUCAGAGAGGUUUUCAUCUAUGCUGAGAAACCUCUUUUGGCCAGACAUAGCUUCUCUUCAAAGCAGAGCUCUCCCCACCUGGUACCAAUCAAAGAGCAAUAGAGAGAAGAGUCAUAUGUUUCUGGAGGGACUGACUUCUGGAGGUGGAAGUGGGGAACACAUUCUCUUCAACCACGGAGAAGGUUUUCACUUCGGGGGCUUCAGCAUUCCGAGGCUGGGCUUGCCAGUGGAGUCACAGCUCUCUCUGCUACCUCACAGCAAGCAAUACCGGAGCGCCAAGUCUAGGUCCAAGAGGCUUCUAAACAGAUUCUACCCCCAAGCCAUAAGACUCCUGAACAUCUAAUCAAAUGGCUACCCAGACUAUUUGCUGCUACUCUAUCUAUGCAUGUCACUUUAAUAUCUCUACCUACAUGUAUAUAUUAACCCGACUAACCAGUACCCCCGCACAUUCUCUCUACCGGUAUCCCCUGUAUAUAGCUUCCACAUUCUCUACCGGUAUCCCCUGUAUAUAUUUUUUUACAUGUAUUUUUAUUUAUUUCACCUUUUAUUUAACCAGGUAGGCAAGUUGAGAACAAGUUCUCAUUUACACCUGCGACCUGGCCAAGAUAAAGCAAAGCAGUUUGACACAUACAACGACACAUGGAGUAAAACAAACAUACAGUCAAUAAUACAGUAGAAAAAUAAGUCUAUAUACAAUGUGAGCAAAUGAGGUGAGAUAAGGGAGGUAAAGGCAAAAGAAGGCCAUGGUGGCAAAGUAAAUACAAUAUAACAAGUAAAAUACUGGAAUGGUAGAUUUGCAGUGGAAGAAUGUGCAAAGUAGAAACAAACAUAAUGGGGUGCAAUGGAGCUAAAUAAAUACAGUAAGGGAAGAGGUAGUUGUUUGGGCUAAAUUAUAGAUGGGCUAUGUACAGGUGCAGUAAUCUGUGAGCUGCUCUGACAGCUGGUGCUUAAAGCUAGUGAGGGAGAUAAGUGUUUCCAGUUUCAGAGAUUUUUGUAGUUCAUUGGCAGCAGAGAACUGGAAGGAGAGGUGGCCAAAGGAAGAAUUGAUUUUGGGGGUGACCAGAGAUAUACCUGCUGGAGCGCGUGCUACAGGUUGGUGCUGCUAUGGUGACCAGCGAGCUGAGAUAAGGGGGGACUUUACCUAUCAGGGUCUUGUAGAUGACCUGGAGCCAGUGGGUUUGGCGACAAGUAUGAAGCAAGGGCCAGCUAACGAGAGCGUACAGGUCGCAGUGGUGGGUAGAAUAUAGGGCUUUGGUGACAAAACGGUUGGCACUGUGAUAGACUGCAUCCAGUUUAUUGAGUAGGGUAUUGGAGGCUAUUUUGUAAAUGACAUCGUCGAGGAUUGGUAGGAUGGUCAGUUUUACAAGUGUAUGUUUGGCAGCAUGAGUGAAGGAUGCUUUGUUGCGAAAUAGGAAGCCAAUUCUAGAUUUAACUUUGGUUUGGAGAUGUUUAUGUGAGUCUGGAAGGAGAGUUUACAGUCUAACCAGACACCUAGGUAUUUGUAGUUGUCCACAUAUUCUAAGUCAGAACCGUCCAGAGUAGUGAUGUUGGACAGGCGUGCAGGUGCAGACAGCGAUCGGUUGAAGAGCAUGCAUUUAGUUUUACUUGUAUUUAAGAGCAAUUGGAGGCCAUGGAAGGAGAGUUGUAUGGCAUUGAAGCUCGCCUAUAUAGCCUCCACAUUCUCUGUACCGGUACCCCAUGUAUAUAGCCUCCACAUUGACUCUGUACCAGUAGCCCCUGUAUAUAGCCACAUUGACUCUGUACUGGUACCCCCCUGUAUAUAGCCUCCACAUUGACUCUGUACUGGUACCCCCUGUAUAUAGCCUCCACAUUGACUCUGUACCGUAAUACCCUGUAUAUAGCCUCCACAUUGACUCUGUACCAGUAGCCCCUGUAUAUAGCCUCG
rnacentral:lncRNA from 13 species